rnacentral:lncRNA from 1 species
UCUAUGGGGCAGGGAGGUGCCCAUCUAUGGGGCAGGGAUGGGGACAGGGACACACUGUGCCCAUUCUAUGGGGCAGGGAGGUGCCGUGCCCAUCUAUGGGGCAGGGAGGUGCCGUGCCCAUUCUAUGGGGCAGGGAGGUGCCCAUCUAUGGGGCAGGGAGGUGCCGACUUUCUCUCCCCCCACUGCGCAGGACUGCAGACUCAGAGCUGUUCGCCAACACCAACCGAGCGGCCGGGGGCGGGGGGGAGGAAGAGGAGGAGGAGGAGGAAGAGGAGGAAGAAGAGGAAGAGGAAGAAGAAGAGGAAGAGGAGGAGGAAGAAGAAGAGGAAGAAGGGGCCAAACCAGAGGAAGAAGAGGAGAACAAAGGGGACGGAGGGGAAACGGGGGGCGAGGAAACAGAGGGAAAACGGCCAGAGGGCGGCGGGGCGACGUAGGGGUGGGCAGCCAAUAAAGGGUUCAGGAUUUGG